GUAGGUGGCAAGCGUUGUCCGGAAUUAUUGGGCGUAAAGCGCGCGCAGGCGGGGUCCUUUAAGUCUGAUGUGAAAGCCCACGGCUCAACCGUGGAGGGUCAUUGGAAACUGGGGGACUUGAGUACAGAAGAGGAAAGCGGAAUUUCCAAGUGUAGCGGUGAAAUGCGUAGAGAUUUGGAGGAACACCAGUGGCGAAGGCGGCUUUCUGGUCUGUAACUGACGCUGAGGCGCGAAAGCGUGGGGAGCAAACAGGAUUAGAUACCCUGGUAGUCCACGCCGUAAACGAUGAGUGCUAAGUGUUAGGGGGUUUCCGCCCCUUAGUGCUGCAGCUAACGCAUUAAGCACUCCGCCUGGGGAGUACGGCCGCAAAGGCUG
rnacentral:rRNA from 1 species